GUGCUCACUUCUGCAGCACAUAUACCAAAAUUGGAAUGCUAGAGAGAAUAUUGGCAUGGCUUCUGCACAAGGAUGACAUGCAAAUUCAUGACGCAUUCCAUAUUUUU